GUUAAUCUUGUAUAUUCAUGAAUGAUGAGUUGUAUCUUGUUACAAGUAUUUAUAGAUCACUUAUAUGAGUGAUUAGCAUCUAAUCUACAAGAUUACAACUGUCAUUAGCUACACAAAACAAUAUAACAACUGUAACUAACAUUUAUAACAACUGUAACUAACAAUUGGAACUGCUAACUAACUUUUAAAUCCUAACUAACUUCUGGACAGCUUGAAUCCAGCUGGCACUUCAGUUAGCUUCUUCAUAACAAUCAUGUAAUUCUGCAUAUUAUUGUAACAGAUUAUAGGAGCCAUUAAUGCUCUGCAAACUAGCUUGUUCAACUUCCAAAGAGGGCAAAUGUGAGAAUCUUGUGAAUACAAGGAUGAUUCGAUGGAUAACAGCCUCACCCCAUCUUCAGAGCUCGGUUUGCUGAGAAACCUUUCGGAUUUUUGGCCCCAACAGCUCUUUCCUUUCACUUCACCUCUGAAAAAGGAACCUUGAGAGCAUUUGGAGUUAUGGUAACUCCGAAUUCUGCCCAGAUCAGAGAAGAAACCAGUAGCAGCCUCCUUUGCUCGUGUCAAGCGUCCCUGUCAUCCUCCUCCUGCGUUAGCAUAUAUAUACAUGUUUAUAUUUUUGACUAACACUUUGUAUGGAUUGUAUUUGUAGCGUAUUUGUUUAUUGCUUGUGAACGAACCGGUGGAAAAUGGCUGAGCAGAACAACGAAUUUAGUCCU